UUGGCCCCGCCGGUCGGGCCCUGCAGCCGCUCCCCGCGGGCCGAGGGGCCGCCUCCGCCUCCCUUCUCCUCGCUAGGGAGAGUCGCGGCUCUUGUUGCGGGCUCAGCACACCGGGAUCGGCGACUCCUCAGCCGGCGCCACGCGCAUCCUCCCGGCUCCUCUCGCCUCAGCGGCUCCUCCCGGCACAGCUCGGCUCGUCCCGGCUCGGCUUGUCUCGGAUCGACUCGUCCCGUCCCGUCCCGUCCCGUCCCGUCCCGUCCCGUCGCGGCUCAGCGGCUCCUGCCGGCAGCUCCGGCCGCUGCCACCUCAACGGCCGCCAUGACACCCCUCCUAAACACCAUAGAGAGAGACAACUCGGGCUAGAGCGCCCCCGCGGGGGCGGAUAUGGCGAGUGUCUUUAUGUAAAUUUGAGAGUAUCAACAGAUGCAAAGACAUCAGAGAUGAUGAAAUGUCAGUUAUGGGCAACAGAAAACUACCUCACUGCUGAUGUGCACACACACAUCUGGUGCAAAGUCCACUGAUACCUGAGAUGAAAUUUCAAUGUUUGAUGAUCCUGUGCCCAAUCAGCGUAUAAGGGAAAGCAAGUAUUCAAAUACAUCAGUCAAGUGAGAAACAUUAGAAGCUAUAAUCAUAUUUAUUUAAAAAAGUGAUAUCAAAUACAACCAUAUAUAUUCAUGCCUAUUUGGAGAGCAUUUUCAAAAUAUCGAACAGCGCUGCCAUUUUCCAGUCAAAACAAUGACAAAGCAUUUCCGCUUUCCCUUUUUAAUCUUUUCAGUAUUCUAUGCGUUAUAUACACAAAAUAGACAUGAUACUGAAAACAGAGUCUUGACCAAAAAAACCCAAAACUAUUACUGAAAUAAGAUUUCUAAAAUACACAACUAUUAGGCAAGAGAUGAAAAA